GGCCUGGUGGUGUAAUGGUAACACAACUGCUUGAUUUCAUAUAUCUUGUGUCUGUUACUCUUUCAGCAGGAGAUUCCUUGUUCGAAUCAAGGUCAGGCCA